rnacentral:rRNA from 1 species
AUGAACGUAGUCCUUGAGGCCGAUUACACCAGGGAGGAGGUGAAAGCUGCACUUGAUCACAUAGGCGAUCUCAAAGCACCCGGUCCAGAUGGGAUGCCGGCGAUUGUUUUUAAGCGUCAUUGGCAUUUUAUGGGAGAUCAAGUUGUGGAGGAAGUCCUAAAGGUACUGAAUGGUGGAGAGAUCCCCGAGGGGUGGAGUGAUACUAUGGUUGUGCUUAUCCCCAAGGUCAAAAACCCAAAAAGAAUCAAGGACCUCCACCCCAUCAGUUUGUGCAAUGUCGUAUACAAGCUAGUAUCAAAGGUGAUUGCCAAUAGACUUAAAUUGAUCCUGCCCGAGGUGAUCUCAUAG